GGCCUUCGGGUUGUAAAGCACUUUUAUCAGGAGCGAAAUACCGCGGGUUAAUAACUACGGGGCUGACGGUACCUGAGGAAUAAGCACCGGGUAAAUUCGUGCCAGCAGCCGCGGUAAUACGAAGGGUGCAAGCGUUAAUUGGAAUUACUGGGGGUAAAGGGUGCGUAGGCGGUUGUUUAAGUCUGUCGUGAAAUCCCCGGGCUCAACCUGGGAAUGGCGAUGGAUACUGGGCAGCUAGAGUGUGUCAGAGGAUGGUGGAAUUCCCGGUGUAGCGGUGAAAUGCGUAGAGAUCGGGAGGACAUCAGUGGCGAAGGCGGCCAUCUGGGACAACACUGACGCUGAAGCACGAAAGCGUGGGGAGCCAGGAUUAGAUACCCUGGUAGUCCACGCCCUAAACGAUNNGANCUGGAUGUUGGUUCU
rnacentral:rRNA from 1 species